rnacentral:lncRNA from 1 species
AGCCAUCACGACGCUGAGGAUGUCCCUCGUGCGAUCUUUCACGUUCUCGGAGACGAAAGGGAAAGACGGCUGAGAAGAGCGAUUCUCCUGGAUCUGAGGCUUCUCGGAAGGGAGGAUUCCGUGGCGGCGAUUGACGAAGAAAGGGACGGUCGGGUUGGGGCUGAGGCGGCGGAUCGUGAAGACGGUGACGAAUCGCGUCGAGGAGAGGUCGGAUUGGGGAUCGAGGUUAGGGUUUUCUGGGGUUAUUGAGAGGGAAUAGGAGGAGAUGAGGAAGGUUUUGCAGAGACGCGCGGAGGUGGUGGAGAUUGAUAGGGAGGAGACGGUGAUCGCGAGGAGGAGGAGGUGGUAAGAGGAUGA